UACGGAGGGUGCAAGCGUUAUCCGGAUUCACUGGGUUUAAAGGGAGCGUAGGCGGAACGAUAAGUCAGUGGUGAAAGCCCCGAGCUCAACUUGGGAAUUGCCAUUGACACUGUUGUUCUUGAGUUCGGUUGAGGUAGGCGGAAUGUUGCAUGUAGCGGUGAAAUGCGUAGAUAUUGGGAGGAACACCAGUGGCGAAGGCGGCUCACUGGACCGGUACUGACGCUGAUGCGCGAAAGCGUGGGGAGCAAACGGG
rnacentral:rRNA from 1 species